rnacentral:misc_RNA from 1 species
AACGCACCUUGCGCUCCUUGGUAUUCCGAGGAGCAUGCCUGUUUGAGUGUCAUUAAAUUCUCAACCUCACCAGUUUUGUAACGAGACUGUGUAAGGCUUGGAUGUGGGGGUUUAUGCAGGCUGCCUCUGUGCGGUCUGCUCCCCUGAAAUGCAUUAGCGAGUUCACUAAGCUCCGUCUAUUGGUGUGAUAAUUAUCUACGCCGUGGAAUGGGUUUAGACUUGCUUCUAACCGUCUGCAAAGACAACUUUUGACAAUUUGACCUCAAAUCAGGUAGGACUACCCGCUGAACUUAA